rnacentral:lncRNA from 1 species
CUAAUACUUACACAAUCCAUAAGAUUCACAUAUUGAAGCUUCUUGUGACGUGCAAGUGAUGGAUGGACCUCAAACAAACUUGUACAACCUUCAAGAAUUAGGUUCUCGAGAUUCGGAAUUCCUGUAAAAUCUGGAGUCUUGAUCAGGUCUAGUGAGUUGCUGAGAUUGAUGAUUUUCAAAUUAACUGCACUCUGCAAUCAGGCAGGGGAGAAGAAUCAUGGAUGCUACUAUCAUAAAUAUAUAGGAAAACAAUAAAAAGAAAUACAAAGGCCCUUAAAUUAGGUGAUCUCACCUUACACCCAUACCAUAAUUGCUCAAUGCUACUGUUAGCCAUGUGAAGUUCAACUAGCUCAUCCACCUGUAAACCAGCUGGCAAUGAUUUUGAAGGGUAAGAAUGCCAUUCAAGAAAUCGUAGCUUAUUGGAAAGAUCUUCAAGUCCUUCAGAAAGCUGCACGUUGUUGAUUUUGAGCAAUCUUAGUUUGGUCAUUUUAGAGAAGGCUUUCAUGUUCCAUUGUGCCUCUUUUAUUCCAGGCAUGUCCAGGAAAAUGGCUUCUAUUUUUUCUUUUCCCUAUCAACCAAAAGGGGCAAACAAGUAAAAAACAAACACAAAGUAGAGAUGGAGCGUAAAUUAAAAUAAACUUCAUGAAAUCUUAUGGAUAAUGUUCUCUAUUAGCUACUCACUGUGUUGUCCAUCAGUGCAAGGCAGACAUCCUCGUAUGUCCACAAUCUACUGCGCCUUCCAGGCUCUUCAGGGGAUUCACAACGAACAAUUUCCUUACCCAUUAUCUGUAAUAAAUUAUGCAUCCAGACUUGAUCCCGAGAGACACUUAUGAGAGAUCUCUCAAUAAGAACUGGUAUUCCAAUACCUGCAUGGAAUCCACGGCUUUCAAGUAUCCUUGUUAUUCGAUCAAUUUUAAACCCCAUCAAGAAACAUGCAAUGUCUAAAAAUAUUUUCUUAUCUGAUUCAUGGAGACCAUCAAAACUAAUGCGAAGCACAUCAAUAAUUUUGCCGUCAGGAAUCUCAUUCAUUCUAUUAAUGGCACCUCUCCAUUCAGGGAUACUUCUUGCAUACAAAAACGAACCUAUAACUUCAAUAGCUAGUGGAAGGCCAUUAGCAUAACCCACAACUUGCUUUGAUAGUUCCACGAAAUCUUCGGCAGGCUGGUCAUUUUUGAAAGCUUUUUGGCUAAAUAACAUAAGAGCAUCAUCAUCAUUCAAUUUUUCAGCCUCAUAAAUUUUAGUAUCAUCAUUUCCAGUUAACACAUUUGUAUCUCUGCUUGUUAUGAUAAUUCUGCUCCCUGGACCAAACCAUCCAGGAUCCGCAGCCAAGAAUUCUAGUUGUUUUUUGUCAUCUACAUCAUCAAGGAUAAGAAGAAUCUUUUUAAGUUGUAACCUCCGUUUUAUCAUCUCAAUCCCUCUAUAAGAAUCCCAUACAGAAGCACGUUCCAUUAAGAUUUCAGAAAGAAGUUGUUCCUGGAAACGGCGUGGUCCAUCUUUCUCAGCAAAAACUUCUCUGACAUUUGCUAAGAAGCAGCUGCCUUCAAAUUGCCAACGAAUCCUAUCAUAUAGUACCCUUGCAACAGUCGUCUUACCUAUGCCACCCAUACCGCAAAUCCCUAUGAAGAUUGCUUUGCCUACUUCUUCACCUAUAUAGCCAUUUAAUACCUCUACACGAGAAUCUAUUCCAACUAAUUUUUUGCUAAUUGUUGGCAGAGUGACGCUUAGUUUGUGCGAUAUGUAUUCAGCUAUUAUUUUAAUUGAUUCCGAUUCAUUCCUGCAUAGGAGGGUGCAAAACAUUAAUCAUGCAGGGUGCAGAAAUCAAAUCAGAUAGUGAUAAUGGGAAAAUAAACAUUAGCAUAUUGUAGCUCGAAAAUGUAUGGCUGUUAGCCGGAAAUUAAUACACCAACCUUUGAGAAAAAUAGGGUCCUGAUAAUAGAUAGCUUCAAGAACAGAGAGGAAAAGGAAAGAAUAAAUUGAAAAAGGAACUAGGAUUGUAUUGAUGCUAAGAAUGAUUCGUACAAUAGCUAUCUUAUUGCCUAUAGAAUCACACAGUUACUACAAGCAUGCAUACAAGAACAAAAGCUAGUAAAUAAAAUAUCCAUUAAGUUUGGUUUUAACAGACCAAAAGGCAAAAGGAGUUCUAUCAUAUUUUUUGUCGACCACUAAGUUAUUUUUAUAAUUAUUUUUAACAAAAAAUUCAAUUAUCUUGCAUAAUUAAGUUUAAAAAAACAACUUUAAAUUUAUUAAUUUUUGAGUUUUUUCCCAUAUUAGCAUAGCCUAAAGAAAAUUUCCCAAACUGACAUAGUUUAAGUGGUUGCGCAAAUCCAAUCCACGCACCUUGAGAUGCACUGAUAUCACAUAUGCUUCUCACAACUCCAAUUUUCAAAACCCAUUUCUUCGUCUUUCUUCUCUAUUUAAUCUUUUAUUUGGUCUUUCAAUUUUUAUACAAUCUUAAUAUUAAUUUCAAUAUAAUGACCAUUUCAUUAAAAUAAACUUAUUUUUAUUUAAGUUGGGCAAAAACAUAACAAUAUUUUAGGCAAAAGUUAACUCGUUUUUAGCGAUUGCAUCUGAAAUAAAUAUUAACUUUAAUUCAUAUAUUUCUUGUGUGCAAAAGAAUAUAAAAAUUGAAAGGAAGAUUUUUGACAUGUGAGACCUGCAUGUGUGAAGUUGCGUAAGUGAGACCUAUACUAUUUUGAGAAAAAUAUAUAUAUAUUAUCUGUCAUACCUUAAAAACUGAACCAUAGAUGAUACUAAUGAUAAGUUGCCACUUGUUGAAAACUUCACUUUAAUGUGUAGUUCUUUAACUAGAUUUUUGGCCUCCGGGGUUGGAUUUUUUUUUUCUAACCUUUAAAAAAUAUAAUAAUAUUUGAAAGUAAAAAAUUCAAUACAUGCUAGAAAAACACUUUUAAAAUAUUAAGAUAAUAAUAUAUUGAACAAUAUAUUUAUUUAAAAAUAUAAUUAUGACGACAACAUACUAAAUCGACUUGGAGUAAUUAUAGAUAACUUGUGAAACUCGUGAUCCGAAGCACAAAUCCGUGAAAACCCCAUGGAACCCAUAUCAAAAUAAAAUAGAGAGUCCAAUUUCAAUCAACCAAAUAUUAAAAGCUAAACAUAAAAAAAUUAUUCGAUUAAAAAAAGAAUUUUUUUAAAAAUAGCAGCUAGAUUUAACAAAGAAUGAGAAAUAAAAAGACUUAAGAUAACCCCGGUUAUUUUUAAAAUUAUUUAAAAAUCUUAUAGAAAAAAAAUUAAAAAAUUAAUAAAGCCCAGUCUCUAAUUAAAUUAAAUAUUGAAUGAUGAAACUGGAAAAAAAAAAAACAUGAGUUUAAAAAAAAAAAAACAAACCUAGACAAAUCUCCUAAACCUAGUUUAGUGUCCCAAAUUCUCAAUCCGUUAAAUCCUAGAUCCAGACUCAACCAAAAUGCUUAAUUCAAUGUUAAAGUAUAAAAUCAGAAUAUAUAUAUAUAUAUAUAUAUAUAUAUAUAUAUAUAUAUAUAUAUAUAUAUAUAUCAAUUUUAAAAACUUGUCGAGGUUAAAAAACAUAACAAUAAAAAAUAAAGGAUGAAAUCGUAAAAAAAAAAUUUAAAAAUAAUCUCACAUAAAAUAAAUAAUAAUCAAAAGAAUGAGAAUCAAAUCUAAUACAUUAAAAAAUUAAAAAGUAUAAAAUUAAAAACAAAUUUUAAUUCUAAAUAUGAAAAAAAAAAAAACCAAAUUGAAGGGUUAAUAUACAAGUUUAGAAGGUCGGGUGCGGAAUUUAAGGAUAAAGACAAAAGAAAAUAAAAGAAAGUCAUUUGGUGCCAAAUCAGAAAGAAUUACUCCACACAUGCCACUCAGGGAGGUAGGUCAUGUCGUGGUGAAUCAGAAAACAUCAAUGAAGGAUUUUUUUGGGUGUCAUAAGCCAUUUCUCGUGCUGCUUAAAUAAGACAGAACAACUUACUUGCUUGUAUGUUCUACAAACAAGCCAACCACUUUUCUUUUCUUUUUUUAUCGUAAAAAAAAUAAAAAAAAAUACAUGAAUAAGCCUUUGAAGAAAAGGUAAGUAUUUUUAAUUUUAAAGAAAAUAAAGUUAUUUUAUUGCACUCUGAAAAGUGAAAUCCCUAAAAAGCUCCUAUAGCUAAUUUAUUUAUUUUUACUUUUAAGAGCAACUAAGUAAUUAUACCGUAAAAAAAUACCUAUCUACCCCAAUCAAUUCUAUAAUGACCAUUGGCCCUUAUAAAAAGACCCUAUUAUCCCUAAUAAGUUUUUUUUUUUUUUUUGGAAUGAAAAAUGAGUAAAUUCAUUGUUACAAUCCAUUAGUAAAUCAAGACAUUUCUCAAGGAUUUUAAAUUUUUGAUACAAUCGAUAAAGUUAUCCUCUAUUAUUCUAUAAUACAAUCAGGAAAGAGUUGUCCUCUAUUUUUCUAAAAAUGCCUCAAUAAAUUCAAUUUAGAUAAAUGAAAUUUUAUUAUUCAAUCUAUUAAAUGAUAGAAAUUAGCAAAAAGUUCAAGAAUUUUUUUAAUUUGUUUUCAAUUUUUAUUUUAUAAAAAUUGUGACAAUUGAGAUUUGAGACGUGCUCCUCUUUUAUUUUAAAAGUCAAAAUUAAAGAAAAAAUAGGGUCGUUAAAAAAAGCUAUUUAAUGAAUCAAAAAUAUAUACUAAUAAUUAUUUACUCAAGAAUUAGUUUUGAAACUCUUGUUGUAUUGUGAUAAUUUCGAUAUUUAAUCAAGUUAAUGUUUAAAUUGAAAAACAUUGAAAAAAAAACAGCUAUGAUCAUCAUUGAAACAAUAGAGGGAGGAUUUGAGAAUAAGAAUAAGUAGAUGGAUGAUUUACCUAUCCCGCACGUCCCAGCCUGAUAGAUUGGCCACCGUAGAGAGACAAUCUUUCCAGUUCCGGACCUUCUCCAAGUUUUCCUUGAAAUUUUGUUCCUGCUCAACGAAGGCUUUCUCAUAUUGUCCUUUCUGCUCGGCUACCUCUGAGGGAUCCACAUCAUAAAAAACUGGCAGAACAGUGUGCCCCAUCUCUUUCAUGCACUGAACAAUCUUGACAAGUUCAUCCAAGCACCAUGGUGAAGAAGCGUAAUCUCUUGAAAAUAUAAUGACAGAAAACCUUGAUUCUUCGAUGGCCUUCCAGAGAGCAGGUUCUAUGGUCUUUCCUCUCUCGAGCUCCCUAUCAUCCAUGUACACAUCGAUGCCUCUCUGUUCCAGAUUAGAAUAUAGAUGACUAGUAAAGUUGUUCCGGGUGUCUUUGCCUCUAAAACUAAGGAACACAUCAUACAUAUAUUGUGGAGGAGAAGAAGAUGAAGAUGAGGUUAUUCCUUGCACGCUGGUGGAAGCCAUGAAAAUCCCUAUAGCGAUAAACUAGUACCGAUCCCUUCUGGCCUCAAUUAGUGUCACUUGGUUCAGCAAUUGCUUUCCACGCUAUUUUGUGUAAGGCCUGCUCCUGUGCUCAAACAUGAAACAGAAGGUAAGAUCAAGAAAUUUGGCAAUUAAAUCUACCAAUUAGCAAUUUCAAGCUGGAACAUGUAUAAUUCUACUUAGAAAUCAGAAAACACCAAAUUUCUACCAAGUAUUACACGAAUCUAGACGAAACAAACCGUGUGCUAAGUGUUGACUAAAGAGGCACAAGAUCUAGCCAAGCCCAGUAUUUGUUUCUACUUAUGGUAUCUUAGUAACCAACUUCCAAAGCCCUUUUCUUUUCUUCUUUUUUCCAAUGACUUCGAAUUUCUUCCGGUUUCUUUAGAUCAAGAACUCGUACUGGUAAGUUUCCUGGAUUUCUUACGGAUCCCUUUCUCACACUGUAAAGAAGAUGGACUUUCAGCGGAGAAAAAGUCAAAAGAAAUGGAAGGGAUAUCGCACGCCCAUGGGGCAGCAGAGGAACCUUCCUGUCAAUAGCAGGGGUUGUGCCACACACUUCACAAUUGAGUUGUAUGGUUCAUAUUAUUUUUAAUGAAUUUUCAAGUCAAGCAUGUGUAAAAUUAUAUUUUAGAUACAAUAAAAAGUAAAUAAGAACAUUUUAGAUACAAUAAUUAAAAAGCUUCUAUAAUAUUUUUAUUUAUAAAAACAAUUAAAUUGAAAUUUUAUUAAAAAAAAACCAAAACCCGUUCCAAUUGACCGGUUUCGAUUUGGUUCGGUUAUUUUAGGUUAAAAACCAAAACCCAACCAACUGGUUUCGGUUCGAUUCGAUUUGGUUAUUUUAUAUUAAAAACUGAAAAUUAUAUUGUUUUUUGUGGACUUUUUAAUGGGUUUUUUCGGUUUGGUUUGGUUUAGUUUAUUUCUUAACUAAACCGGUUCAGUUCGGUUUUUUUAUUUCAGACUUAUGAAAUAGAAACCAAACGGAACCGAAUUUUUUAAAAAAUAUUCUAAUUGGUUUUUUUCUUGGUUCAAUUAUUUUUUUCGGGUUUUCUCGGUUUAAUCAGUUUGUCGGUUUGUUUGUUCAUCCCUAUUAGCAAUAUCCCAUAUGAAACCUUUGAUUAUGGGGUAUUUAGGAUUGUAGUAACAAUUGUUUUUUAAAAUGUUCUUUUACUUAAAAAUACAUCAAAAUAACUUUUUAAUUAUAUUUUAAAAAUUAUUUUAAAUAUUAAUAUAUCAAAACAAUGCAAACCACUUGAUCUCCUUCACCUUGUCAGAAUUCUUAAUUAAUGAACCAACCCCUCUGUCACCGUUGCAACAUCAAACCACCACCCAUGCCAACAGCCUCAAAAACCACUCUACAAUCACCUUCUUCUUUUCUUUUUACUAACAAAAAAAAUUAUAUAUUGCUCUUCUUUGUUUUUAGUAUUUGUACUUUGAUCCUUCUUCUUUUAAUUUUUUAUUUUUAUCAUUGACUCUUUAAUAUAAGUUUUGUUUCCUUUAAAUUUAGUUCUUCAAUUCCAAUUUGUAAUAAAUUAUAGUUUCCAAUUUGAUCUUUAUUCUUUUUAUUUUUAAUUGUUUUAAUUGAACCUUUUAUGACAAUUGUUUUUCAAUUUUAACCUUCAAUCCAAGUUUAUUUUGUUUUUUUUUCAAUUUGAUCCUCAAUUUUUAUUUUUGUUUCCUUUUGUCCUUUGCCCUAUUGUAUAAGUGUUAUUUGUUUUCUAUUUAGUCCUUCAAUUUCAAUUUUUCAUACACUCCUUUUUAUUAUUUGGUUCUUAUUUUUUAUUUCUUAUUUUUUUUUCCUCAACUCUUUUAUAAAACUUUUAUUGGUUUUAAUCUUACCAUUCAAUUGAAGUUUAUGGUUAGUUAUUUUUUUUUCAAUUUUAUUCUCAUUAUUUUUUAUUUUUCUUUUUAUUUGAGUUAUUUUUCUUUGUCGUUAACCCUCCAAUAGAACAAAAAAUUAGUUGCACUAUAAUUUAUUUUUUUAUUUUGAUUUUCACUCUUAUUUUUUUAAUUACUAUUUUUUUCAUUUUAGAUCCUUUUGUGUAGUUGAUUUUCCCCCCGUUAUGUUCUUCAUUGUUUGUUGACUCGGUCCACUUUUUUUAUUUUUUUUUUUCAAUUUCGUGCUCCAAUUGUUUUUUUUUCUAAGGUAUCAUGAUCUUUUUAAAAAAGAAAUUAUUUAAUUAAUAUCAUUUCAUUUUCUUUUAUUAUCUAAUGAAAAUAAACCAACUUAUUAAUCUCAGUUACUGUUAUCACUUGAAUUGUUAAUUUUUUUUAUUUCUUUAAAACACACUUGCAUCACCUAAAUAUCGUUCUUGGACUCGCAACUCAGUGCGGGCCCAUGCCUAGUGUAUGUUUCUAAAACUCAAAGGUCAUGUUUUCUAAUUUGCUUUAAGUAUGCUAUAAAGAACAUCCAUCCCUCAUCAUUGUGAGCCAAACUAUAACACAAUUCUUAAAUACAAAUAAUGAAAGUUAUGGAUAAAAGUUAGACAAUAAUUUUGUUUUAAAUAUUUAUAUAAUUUUUUCACAUUAAAUAGCAAAUAUACUAAAACAAAAAGGGAUUAGAAACUGUGGUUUUAUUGUAGCACAAGACACAUUUCACUAUAUAUUACAAUAUUGAAAUUACGAUUAGCAGAUCUCCCUAUUACCGGGAAACCUACAAAAAUAAGAAUGGGAAGAGGAAAAGGAAAUCCUACGGGUUGGAUUGCUCGUGUUUCUACGGGACAAAUUCUAUUUGAAAUGGAUGGUGUGAGUUUGUCAAAUGCUCGGCACCCCUCAUUCAAGUAAUAAGUGGCAUUGCUGAGAAGGGUGUUAGGGUCUUUUUGUUUUAUAUGAACAAUGAAAAUACAAAAAUGCCUUCGGUGACAAAAAAAAAAAUUAUAUGCUUUUAGUCCAUGGGUGUCAUCAGUUUUUGAUAUUUUAGGUUACAGAUAGAUUGUUAAAAUGUCGUUUAAGUUAACAAAGUCAAAGCUUUCAAUCAAAAAAUAUUUAUGUCUUUUCAAGCUGGUUAUUUUAUUAUUUUUUUUAUUUUAUCAAGGGCAUUAUUGUAUUAUCAAAAUAAAUAAUAUUAAAUUUUAAAAAGUUGUUGGUUCAUGGAAGGUACUCGUGCAAUUCAAACGACGUGUGCGGCACCUCUCGAUGGUUACAUAUGUCUAACCACCAUGAAGUUAGAUUCAUCGAUGGUUAGAUGGUUUGUAGCUGGUGAGCCUUUAUUUUAUUUUUUUUCUUUCUCCUCCCUAAAAAAUUACAUAUUGGUCUUUUUUGUUUUUGGUAUUUGUACUUUGCUCCUUCUUCUUUUGAUUUCUUUUUCUUAUCCUUGACUCUUGUCGCAUGUCGAAAUCCGCGCGACGUCGGCUGACGAUUUUUCUUUGUUGUGUGUUUCUUGCUUGAAUUGAUUCAUUGAGAGUCGCCACCUAGUAAUUGAUUGAGGGCUACUAGGAAACCGAACGUACUGGUCUUGUCGGAGAUUUGCGGGUGAGGGACUGGUUGUGGUUAGGGAAGGUAUUAGCACCCCUAACGCACCCUACCUGAGGUAAGCUGCUUCGUGAAUUUGAUGUGUUUAAAAAGUUUUAAUAAUUAUUUUUUUCAUCAGAUAUUAGAAAUACAACUUACAUAUAAAUUAAUAAUUCUUAAUUGUGAUCCAAUCAAAAUAUUAAAUUCUUCUUUAAUCUUUACAAUUUUAUCAUAAAAAAAAAAAUAAAAAAAAAAAUUCAUAAACAAAAUACAAAAAACACAUCUAUUUUCACUAUCCUUUUUUUUUUCUUUUCUUUUUUUUUUUGUUACAUCCACACUACAAAUAAUACAAAUUCAAAAACCUCUAAACAAAAAUUACAUUACACUUUGGAAAUUACAAAAACAGCCUCUAAAAAAUCCUGGAAUUUGCUGGGAACGUUUCUGUGAAGCCAUGGACACCAGGAACAGUGGCCGCACGUUGUUCCACGUGCCACCGCCACUGGCGGCGCGUGAAGCUGUUGAGGGUGGCAGAACCGGCGGAUCGGGGCCUUCUUCCUCUCUUCUUCCUCGCCGGCGGUGACUGCUACCUCUACCUUCUCCUGGUGUUGAGGGUGCCACAAACAGUUGAUUUUAGCGUUUUCUUUCUUUGUUUUUUUUUUAGAUCUGCAUCUCUCCCUUCUCCUUCUUCGGGUCUGCUUCACCGCGGGUCAGUUUGUCAUGGGUUCCGUCUUCUUCUCCUCUGCUUCGGGUGGCAGAUCGGGCGGUGCUGCCAUGGCUGAUGUCGCUGUGAUGGGAAGGAGACGCCGCUACAAGACUGGUGGGAGGAGAUGAAGAAGACAGCGGGGACUGCUGCUGGAGGCCGGUCUGUGCAAAGGAGAGCCGAUGGAUGAGAAAGGGGACGGCGUCUGUGGGCGCUGCUGCUGUCGGCCGCCGCUGGGUUCUUCGGUGGGAGGAGGCUGUGAAGGGGACUCCUGCUGGGAAGGUGAGGAUGGCGUCUCCCAAGCUGGUGGUGGAGGGGAUCGGUUGCUGCUGUGUGGCUUGGUGGAGGCCGGCGCUGAUGACUCUGUGGGCGGCCGUGUGUUGGCUGCGGCCAUGUUUGGUCGUGGGGGAGGAGAGGAAGUCGGCUGAGAGAGGGAAGACCUGGUGUGUGGCUGGUUUGUUGUGGUCUGCUGGUUGAAGGAAAAAAAUGAGGUGUUUGGUUUACAGAGAAGCUGAGGCUAGCAGAGCAGAGGGCUACCGUUGGCUGGGAGAGGGAAGGUUUGGAAAUGGGGGAGGCUGCGGCUUCUCUUGUUUGGCCAAGUGGGGGGGGGGGGGGCGUGGCCGACUUAGGUUUUUUUUUUCUUUCAAGGAGGCGGCGGCGGCUUCGGGUUAAGGAGAAGAAAGGGUUAUGAUUUUUAGGGUUUUUUGUGGUUUAGGGUUUAUUUGUGAUUCUCUAUCCUCUCUUUUUGUGUGUGUUGAAGGCUACUAUUUAUAGGCAAAAUGUUGCUUAGGCCUCAAAAUUGGUCCCUCAACUUCUUUUUUUUUUGUAAAUUUUGAUUUUUCUUAUUUUUUUAUAUUUUUUUGAAAACGAGCAAUAUCAACAUCGACUCAAUGAGGAAAAUCAAUGAUUUUUUAAAAAUAACGCGUUAAAAGUUGAACGCGUUCCAAAUAUCUUUGAAAAUUUAAAUUCUUUUGAGAUGAUGCUGAAAAUGCUAAAAACGAUGCAAAUAUAUUUAAAAAUAUAUUUUUUUGGAUUUUCAAUGUUUUUCGCUAUUUUUGAAUUUUUCUGAAAAUUUAUCAAAACAUGGGUAAAAAAUUAGGUAGCAACAGAUGCCCCCUCUUUACAAUGUUUACGAAGCAAAACUCCUCAAUGUUUUGCAUAGUAAGCUUUGUAAAGAAAAACUUGUUUUUCUGUCUGCUUAACUUGCUCAAUAUCCACUCAUCUAAAGACCUUACUCUUUUUUUUCUCUUUUUUCGUUAACUUGAGAUCCCAUCUGGCGAUCUCCUUUUCCAAAACCAAAGAAUGUGUAUAGCUCGGUCAACCUGAAAUCCCAUCUGACGAUUUCCUUUAACCAAAGCUACAUGAGAUCCCAUCUGGCAACCUCAUUCAACUAGAACUAAAAAAUAUGUGUAGCUCGGUCAACCUGAAAUCCCAUCUGGCGAUUCCCUUUAACCAAAGCCACAUGAGAUCCCAUCUGGCGACCUCAUUAAACUGGAACUAAAAAAAUGUGUGUAGCUCGGUCAACCUGAAAUCCCAUCUGGCGAUUCCCUUUAACCAAAGCCACAUGAGAUCCCAUCUGGCGACCUCAUUAAACUAGAACUAAAACAAUGUGUGUAGCUCGGUCAACCUGAAAUCUCAUCUGGCGAUUCCCUUUAACCAAAGCUACAUGAGAUCCCAUCUGGCAACCUCAUUCAACUAGAACUAAAAAAUAUGUGUAGCUCGGUCAACCUGAAAUCCCAUCUGGCGAUUCCCUUUAACCAAAGCCACAUGAGAUCCCAUCUGGCGACCUCAUUAAACUGGAACUAAAAAAAUGUGUGUAGCUCGGUCAACCUGAAAUCCCAUCUGGCGAUUCCCUUUAACCAAAGCUACAUGAGAUCCCAUCUGGCGACCUCAUUAAAUCAAAACUAAAAAAUGUGCAAAAAAUGGUCUCAUUGUAAUGGGUGACCUACCCAGGUGGAAAGAAUAUGGAAAGCGGUCUCAUUAUGAUGGGUGAGCUACUCAAAUGAAAAAAAUGUGAAGUGCGGUUUCAUUGUAAUGGGUGACCUACCCCAAAGAAAAAAUGGAAAGAGUGGUCUCAUUGUAAUGGGUGACCUACCCAAGUGGAAGAAUGACCUCAUUGUAAUGGGUGACCUACCCAGAUAAAAAAACAUGGAGAAAGAAAAAAAAUGUUGGUCUCAUUAUAAUGGGUGACCUACCCAAGAAACAAAUGUUGGUCUCAUUGUAAUGGGUGACCUACCCAAGUGGAAGAAUGACCUCAUUGUAAUGGGUGACCUACCCAGAUAAAAAACAUGGAGAAUUGGUCGCGUUGUAAUGGGUGACCUACCCAGAAAAAUAUUGGUGAGGGCUCAAAGGCGCACUCGAAAUGAGGUAGGGUUAGAAAACGCACUACCUGAGAAACAAUGGAUCAAAGGCGCACUUUAAAGGAGGUAGGGUUGGCAAACGCACUACCUAAGAGAUGGUGGCUCAAAGGCGCACUCGAAAUGAGGUAGGGUUAGAAAACGCACUACCCAAGAUAUGGUGGCGCAAAGGCGCACGCACUACCCAAGAGAUGGUGGCUCAAAGGCGCACUCGAAAUGAGGUAGGGUUAGAAAACGCACUACUUGAGAAAUGAUGGCUCAAAGGCGCACACAAAAGGAAGUGAGGGCUCAAAGGCGCACUCGAAAUGAGGUAGGGUUAGAAAACGCGCUACCUCAAAAGGUGAUGUUGAAACACCAAUCUGACAAUGUUGAAAGCAAUGCAUUAUGAUUGAUAUGCAUGUAUACUUACCUGAGAAAUAUAGGUCCCUAUUUUUUCAUGGUGUCUUUCUUUUCUCAAAAGUUGGAGUGUUGAUAGUAAACAUCGAUGGCUUUUCGCUCUUGCUUAUUCGAGUUAUAUCUUGUGAUCUUGACCUCUAGGAAGGACUUGAUGUCAUCAUACUUCUUUGUUCUUCGCCCUUUAUCUCAAGGGUUGCCAAUUUUUCCCGGUAUUUUUCUUAAAAAGGGAAUCAUGGAGCCAGCCUUACCAUGCAUUUUUUUAUUGCCCCCAAGCUUGAUCGUGCCCUCAAGUGUUCAAAUCAGGUUUAGGGAUGAGGCUAUGUGAAGGAAGGUUUGGCCAGGAGUUGUUUUCAUGCAGAAAUUUUGGAAUUUCAAAGCUAUUCCAGACACAGAAAUUAUUUUGACAUUGAUUCAAAGCAAACUCAUUCUGAAGAGAUUCAAGUGAUUCCUAUGGAAAGGUUUUCAGAUGGGAUGAAAACUUUUUUGUUUUGCUUUUGACGAAAAUAUGAAGAACACGAAGUGACAUCUAGUUGGUCAUGACUUGUGCUAUUAAGCGAAUGGAACUUGAGUUUCUAAAAAAAGAUGGGUUCUUUUGAGGCUUCUAAAAAGCUGUAAGUUCUUGGAAAUGAAGGGAAAAUGAGGGACUUUGAUUGGGAUUUCAAAGUGGCUUGUUUUGCGACGUUUCUCCACAUAACCGUGGAUGGUUUAAGAUAGAAUUGUGGGUUUCUUAUCAAAAGUAAUCAAAGGAUCAAAAUUUUUGGUAGAAAAUAUACGGGAGUUGGCACUCUAAUUAAAGGAAAUGAGAAAAAAAAGAAAAAGAAAUGGAAUUGAAGUGAUUGAAUUUUAGAGAUGAAUUAAAAUGCGCGGGUAAUGCAAUUUGAGAAAGGAAAUGAGUUCAUAGAGAGGGUAUGAUAGUGGCAUUAGCAUACCGGCCGCCUUAUACCCUGCAUAAACCUUCUUUGGGUUUUUGGCUAAAUCCAGUUACAAACGAAGCAAGUCCAAUUUUGGAGUCAGUGAUUAUAUAUAUUAAUAUUUAUGUGUUUAUAUAGUUGUGAAUAUAAAGCUAUUAAUAAUAAAAGUAUAGAAGUUUAUUAAUUACUAAAGAAAUACCUUCCAAAAUUCAUAUUCUAUUUAAAAGCAUGCCUACCAAAGCGACAAUUUGUCAGGCUUGUUAGAGAAUAAUAUAAAUCAUAUCUUGGGACCUCACCUUACAACUUAAGCUUUUGGGUUGAAAUGGUUCUUUGACAUGGUAUCAGAGCCUUGAUGACCAAGCGGUCACGAGUUCGAAUCUCACCAUCCCCAUUUAUUUGAUAAAAAUCAAGCACAAGGUAAAGUGGAUCUGUGCAAGUUUCAAGCCCAAAGGGCUUUCACUUGAGGGGGUGUGUUAGAAAAUAAUAUAAAUCAUAUCUUGGGACCUCACCUAACAGCUUAAACUUUUGGGUUGAGAUGGUUCUUUAUCAGGCUUAUAAAAACAAAUUGUUACUAAAUUAAUUUUUUUUAUUAGAGUAAAGAUAUUUUGAAUUUAUAUUUACAUGUAUGUUGUGUUUGUUUAGUAAAAAAAAUAAAAAUAUAUUUAACUAAAAAAUAAAAGGAAAUAUAUAAAAUCCAAAACAUAAAUUAAAUGUCCAUACAUUUUCUCUGUUUUGUUGUUUUUAUUUUUUUAUUUUAAAAUAAUAAUAAUCAAACACCAUUUUUAUUUGAAUUUAAAAAUAGUGAGUGAACUUGGAAAUGUUGGACAUUUAAUUUGGGGCAUGAAAUGUUGCAUUGCACAUCGAAGAUGGUUUUCUGUUUUUGAGAAGAAAGAACAAACACUUUUAACAUAAAAGUAACCAAUUAAAGAUGCCGCCUUUCCUAAUGAUUUGAUCUAAUAGGUUGUCGGGUAGAUUGUUUGUUUGUAUUUGCAUUUUAAAAAAAUUAAGUUUAUUAUUUUAAUUUUUUAUUUUGAAUUAAGUUUUUUAUAUAUAUUAUUUUAAUGUACUGAUAUCAAAAAUAAUUUUUUAAUAAUAAUAAAAAUAUUAUUUCAAUGUAUUUUUAAAUAAAAAAUAUAUUUUAAAAAAUAAUUGUUAUAAUAAUAAUAUUACCACAAUAAUAAACAGGCUCUUAAAAGUUAUGAGAAUUGUUUAGAAUGAUUAGAAUGCAUGCAUACAGCUCGGUCGUAUAUAAGAUCAAUUUUCAUGUAUUUUGAAUUUAAAAUGCAUGUUGUUGGUAUUGAAAAAUAAUAUAAAUCAUAUCUUCAAACAUCACUUGAUAGUUUAAGCCACUGAGUUAAACUGGUUUUUUACUAUUAUAUCAGAGUUUUGAUGACCAAACGAUCACGAGUUCAAAUCUUAUCAUUCUUAUUUAUUUAAUAAAAAUUAAACACAAGAUAAUGUGACCUUAUGCAAAUUCAAGUCCAAAAUGCUUCCACUUGAGAGGGGUGAUAGAGAAUAAUAUAAAUCAUAUCUUGAGAUCUCACCUAACAGUUUAAGUUAUUGGAUUGAAUUGAUUCUUUAACGGUUAAGAGAAAUUAAUUUUAAAAUGUAGUUAUUGUAUUUAAAUUUUAAUCAAAAAUUAAAUUAAUGAGUUAAGAUUUUGUUGAAAAAUAUUUUUUUGCAUGAAUAUUAAUUAUAACAUGAAAUAUUAAAAUACUUAAAAUUAAUGAUAGAUAAAUAAAAAAUUAAUUUCAAAGAAUUCUGAAUGAAAUUGAUGAAAAAAAAAUCAUGUUGAUAAGAAAUUAUUGGUUUUAUCUUUUAGAAAUAUAUGUUGUUUUUAAUUUAAAUCUAACACAGACACCAAAACCAGAGUUAAAAAAAUAGGCAGACUAGCGAUUCCAAAAUAAUGGUUGAAAUUUUCCAGAGCACGGGCUUUCCGCCAUGUAAAAGUUUUAAUAUGGAAACAAUCCUUCCAUCCGCAAACAUGGGAUUAUCCUAAAUUUAAGAAGAAAAUUCAUACAUAGUAAAAUGUGAAUCUAAUUACCCCAAACCAAAACCAUGAGCAAAAACUGACGAAGAUCUUCAAGCUAAAGCAAGUUAAAUUCCGAACCAAAACCCAGGGAGCAGCUGCUGCUGCCGCUGCUGCAGCUGCUGCUGCUGCUGCUGCAGCUGCAGCUGCCGUUGCCACUGCAGCUGCAGCUGCAGCUGCCGCUGCUGCUGCCGGAGCACCUCCUGCUGCUGGAGCACCUGCUUCUGGAGCAGCCUGAUGAGCUGCUGCUGAUCGAGCAGCUGCUGCUGAUCGAGCCGCUGCUCAGCGAGCUGCUGCUGAUGCCGCUGCUGCUCAUCGAGCUGCUCGAUCAGCAGCUGCUGAUCGAGCCACUGCCGCUGCUGCUCAUCGAGCAGCUCCUGAUCGAGCUGCUCGAUCAGCACCAGCUGCACAUCGAGCAGCCGCACCGGCCCGAGCACCUGCGUCUGCUGGAGCAGCUGCUUCUGCCACCCCUGCUGGAACCGCUCCCACCACUGGAGCACCUGCUGCCGCUGCUGGAGCACCUGCUGCCGCUGGAGCAACUGCUGCCGCACCAGCUGGAGCACCUGCAGCUGCUCAUCAAGCCGCUGCUGGAGCACCUGCACAUCAAGCUGCUGCCGCCACCACAGCUGGAGCACCUGAUGCUUAUCGAGUAUCAGCUUAUGAUUGAGCUGCAGCAGCUGCUGCUCCGGCUCCUUGAACAGCUGCUGCAGCUCAGGUAUAAAGAAACUGCACAUGGAAUCGAUGUUACAUAUUUUUUUGGGUGUUAAAAAAAAAUUUUAAUAAAAAAUUUAUAGAUUGAUUUUUUCAACAUGUUUUUGUAUUUAAAAAAUUCUAAGUGAAAAUAAAAAAAAUUAUGCAUAAAUAUAAUCAAAUAAAUAAAAAAUUAUGUGUGUUAAUAAGUAAAAAAAAACAAUUAUAAACUAUAACUAAAAAUAAAAGUGAAAAAAUCGAGAAACAAGUAUAGAUUAAGAUAUUUAAUUUUAAAAGACCAGAUAUUUACGCGAUUGUAUUUACUAAAUUUAUUAAUUGAAACAAGUUUUUUAUUCAAUCAAACGAUAAUAAAAAUAGAUAUACACAUUAAAUUGAUUGAAUAAAAUAAAAUAAAAAAAUAAUAUGCAAGACUGCACAUAUUAGAAAUAUUAUUUGAAAAUAAAAUUUUUUAUUUUCAAGAAUAAAGUUCAUAUGUACAAAAGAUUAAAAAAAAUUAUAAAUGAAUCAGAAAAUGUUUCUCAAAAAUUAAAUGCAUAACUAAAAAAAUAACUAUCAUUUCAAAAAGGAUCUCUAAACAACAUAAAAAAGGAGAAGAGAUGUUAAUCUAAAUAUAAAUUUAAAAAAAAAUAUAAAAGAAAAAAAAGAAGAAGAAGGAAAGGCCAGGCGUUGUUGGGAUUAGUAAAUCAAGCCAGUCCAAUUGCCGCAUUUUGUUAGGGCCCACACCCACUAACCUUUUUUUUUUUGUUGAAAGAUGUUUGUUAAAAAAAAAAUAAGAUGACGCUCUUUUACAGACCAGAUAUUUUUUUCUCUUACAAAAAAAGUUGUGCAUGCAUGUUUUUUUGAUGCAAUUUUAUACAUAAAAAAAAUUUAAUCUGUAAAUUAAAAAGCUCGUACAUACAUGUAAUCAAAUAAAUUGAUAACUAUGUGAAUUAAUAACAAUAAAAAUAUAUUAACGAUAACUAAAAAUAAAAUUAAAAAAUUCAAAUGUGUUAAUAAAUGAAACAUUUACCCAGUUAUAUUUUUAAAAUUUAUUUAUUAAAAUUAAUCUUUUUAUCCAAUCAAAUGAUAUUAAAAAAAACACACGUAUUAAAUUGAUUAAAUAAAAUAAAAGUAGAAAAAAUAUUAUGCAAGGUUUGUUGUACAUAUUAUGUUAUCUGAAAAUAAAUAUUUUUUAUUUUUUAAAAUAAAUUUCUUUAUACAAAAAGAUAAAAAAAAAUUGUUGAUGAAUCAUAAUAAGUUUUUUUUUAAAUUAAAUACGAACAACACCAUAAAAAACAAUAUCUAUCCAAAAAUAAAUAAAAACAAAAAUCACAGAUGAGAAAUAUUAAUUGAAAUAUAAAUUUAAAAAAUAUUUUUAAAAAGAUAUAUAAAAAAAUAUCAAUAAAAAAAAGCAAUAUCAGAAAAAAAAAAAAAACAUUGUUAUGUUGUUGGGGCUUAACUCGUUAAAUCCGUGACCCGUAGCAUGAACUCAAUCGGGUUCAAUAUUGUUUUCCCUUUAAAUUCGUAUUCAACCUUUAACAAAAAAAAAAUUAAACAUGUGACCUAGACCAUGAACUCAACCAGACUCUAUAUUGUUUUCUUUUAAAUUUAUAUUCAACAUUUAAAAACAAAUAUAUACAACACCAUAAAAAAACAAUUUAUAUUAAAAAAAGGUUAAAUAAACAAAGCAAAUCACAUAUGAGUGAUAUUAAUUGAAACAUAAAUUGAAAAUUAUCUAAAAGAAGGAUAUAUAUAAAAAAAAAUCAGUAAAAAGAAAGCAACAUUAGAAAAAAAAAUAAUUAUCCAAUUAUUGUAGCUUAACUUGUUAAACUCGUAACUCAGUUCAUGAACUAACCAGGUUCAAUUUUUUUUCUUAAACCUUAAAAAAAUUUAAAUAUGGGACCCGAACCAUGAAUUCAACGAGGUUCAAUAAUUGUUUUCUCUUAAAUUUAUAUUCAACUUUAAAAACAAAUCAAAAAUUAAAAAUACACAACACCAUAAAAAAAUCAAUCUUUAUAAAAAAACCUCAACCAGGUUGAUUUUUUUUUCUUAAAUUUAUACUCAACCUUUAAAAACAAACUUGUGACCGGGAUUAUGCACUCAACCGGUUAAAUAUUUUUCUCCCUUUGAAUCUAUAACAAACCUAAAAAAAAAUAAAGUAAAUAAUAUCAUCCACAGUAAAACAUGUCAAUUUAAUACGGAACAUAAAUUUAACUGAGUUUAAUAUUAAUUUUUCUUAAAUUCAUAAUCUACCUUGAAAAAAACACUUGUAACCCCAUUGUGUACUGAACCUUGCACGGUGUUUUUCCCAUGAAAAAAGAAGAAGAAAAAAACAGAGUUGUUAACAUUAAGUUCUGAAAGUCGAUAUUUCAGCAUUCCCAGUUUCAUUUACUUGAAGUGGUUGAUAAUUCGAGCUACACACAAAAAAAAAAAGAAGUAAUUAUUACCUUUUCAAUGAAUUCGAUCCAGAUGAAAUCUCAACUUUAGUGAGAAUAUCCAUCCAUCUUUGUCCUUUCUCCUCGUUUUUCCUGAGAUUUUCUUCAUUCUUAUCAAAGACAAUUGUAUAACUCUCUGUUUGAUCAUCUAUCUUUGAUUGUCCGACAUCACAAGAAACUGGAAACACAAUGUCCGAUCUCAUCUCAUCCAUGAAUCCGACAAUCUUGACAAGUUCUUCAAAGCACCAUGGUAAAGAAGCACAAUCUCUUGCAAAUAUAAUAAUUGACAGCCCUGAUUCUUCAAUGGCCUCAAAGAGUCUUGAUCUAAUUGCCAUUACUUUCUCUCGUUCCUUCUCGACUGGCACAAUGAAUCUCAGGGCUAGAUCUGACUUUAAAGGUCUGCGACUAAUGUCUACGACUCUGAUGCCAGAGAAAACAUUAGCCUUCCAUUGAUGGUACGACGAAGAAAAAGCUAAAGAAGCUUUAUAUGAAGAAGCUGCUUCUUUGCUUGUAACAAUAAAAUGGGCAGAAGAUGGUCGUGGUGUAAUAUAUACAGAAGAUAGCAAACAGACACCACAAUUCUUCACCUUCACUCCUGGAUGGGAAGAAUGAAACGACAACUCAAUGUUGCUAAAGGAUCCAUGCUGCCACUCUUGAAGCUCUUUAAGGUAAUCAAAAGAUAGAUAGAAUAGCCAAAUAUGAUCUGACAGAACUUGGAUAGAGUUACAACUAAUACACAUUGGCGAUGAAGGAUAAUUCUCUCUUCCAUUGGCUUUGAAAUGACAAAAAAGAGAAGGACUUUCACCAUUUACACCGAAUGCAACACACGCAACAAACCCCAUGCUCCAACUAGGCACUUGCACACUAAUUGAAGAUCCCUUACUUUGAUGGUUAAACCAGCCUGGAAUUUCAUUUCCUGGAAUGGCGAUGCCAAAUCCAGGUCUUGGAUUAGACAAACCCUGUACCAUAAAGAACCAAAAUGUUAGAUAGAUAGAGGGAGAGUGAGAGAGAUAGAAAAAGGUUGGGGUUUGGUUAAGAGGACCUGGAAGUAUCUUUUAAGCAGGGUCAACCCCAUGCUGUCUUGGCCAUAAUGAUUGUACAAUUCCCAGCAGUUAAGACAUACGAACUCUGAGAUUUUGGAACUGCUUAGGUUUAUCGGAUCUGGAAAUCUUUUUAGGCUUAUACAACCAUUCAAACAUACCGUUUGAACUUUAGAUGGAACCUGAGGCAAUGAUUCAAGCAUCGUGCAAUCCUCCAAGACAAGCAUUUCCAGUUCAAAAAGCUUAUUUAUGCUUUUAGGCAGGCUAACAAAGUUAUUCUGGCUCAGAUCUAAGGACCUCAAUGAAGAUAAACAGCCAAUAUCUUCAGGAAGUGCCCCUUCUCUUAGAUUGCAAGCGCAUAAAUCCAGUACUUCUAAAGAACACAGACCCGACAAAGAAGGCAACCUUUGAUCCGUGGGAUUCACAGCUAUUCUUUUGCAUCCAUCAAAAGAUAAUACUUUAAGAUUCUUUAAAAGAAAAAUGGAUGCUGGCGGUUGUCUUAUUGAAGUUCCACUUGCAUCAAACUCCUCCAAACUUUCAACUUUCCCCAAAUUCUCUGGUAUAUUUUCAAGUUCAGAGCAGCCAAACAAAUCAAGUUUUUUAAGGGAUUUCAAGCAACCUAUGCUACUCGGAAUGCUUUUAAGGUUCUUACAGCUGUUCAUGCUCAAUACUUCUAAGCCAAUCAAAUGAUGCAUCGAUGAAGACAGUUCUUCAAUACCUGUCCCAUCCAAACGAAGCACCAUCAAACAUUUCAUGUUUCCUACUAUAUCUGGAAACUUCUCAAGUUUUGAGCAGCCAUCAAGAAUGCAAACUUUAAGUGAUCCCAUUUCUAGAUUGUUCGGGAGAAUCCUAAUGCUUUUGCAGUUCACAAGAUUCAUAUAUUGAAGCUUCUUGUGAUGUGCAAGUGAUGGAUGGACCUCAGACAAACUUGUACAACCUUCAAGAAUCAGGUUCUUGAGAUUCGGAAUUCCAGUAAAAUCUGGAGUCUUGAUCAGGUUUAGUGAGUUGCUGAGAUUGAUGAUUUUCAAAUUAACUGCACUCUGCAAUCAGUCAGGGGAGAAGAAAU